rnacentral:rRNA from 1 species
UGUGCUAAGGUAGCAUAAUUGCUUGUCUGUUAAUUGCAGAAUUGUUUGAAUGGGGUAAAUAUGGUGCUUGAUGGUGGUUGCUUGAUUAGGAAUUUGCAGUCUCGGUGAUGAUGCUGUGGGGUGUGGUUUAGGACGACAAGACCCUAAGAGCUUAAUUUCUGGUUUUGUAAGAGUUUAAAUGGGGCAUUGGGCUGUUGUGUAUAGCUUGUGAUUAAGUUGAAAGCUUCCUUAGGGGUAACAGGAAGAUAAU